rnacentral:lncRNA from 1 species
UUGAAAGUGUGUGGAACAUUGUGGGAUGAGGUCAAUUGUCAUAUUGGUAUGGGUGGUUAGCAUGGAAUUUAUGUGAUGGAUUGCUUGUUAGGUAGAGGAAAGGGUCUACCUGUUAUGCAUUUAGUGUUCCACUGCUUCACUAUUGGGCCUUUGUCGUUUGGGCAUUGCAAACAAUUGAUAAUUCGGAAAAGUAUUGCAUUUCCGACUUGAUAUACAUGCAAAUUUGAGUCUUUUUCUUUUGCUUUUUA